CCAACUUCCUCGGAGCUUUGCUGAAACUGCACAAAAAAUCGAGCUGGGGGGUUCCCUGGCCCCGGCGUUGGGGCGGGGAGCGCUACGCCGAGGGAGGGGGCGGCGCAGACCCGACUAGGGGACACCUGGUCGAGCGCAGCUACCGCUCCGCUCGAGCCCUACGCUCCAGUGCCCUCGCUGGCUGGAGAGUUCGCCCGGACCAGGGGUCUUCCUCCGCCGCUGACAGUUGAAAAAUUAGAAGAGAUAUUCUGAUGUGGAGUGAGGAAGAGGAGAGAAGAGAGGAGAGAGAACAGUGAUGGUGACCCUUCCUGUGUCAAGCUGAGACAAAAACUAUCCAGCACAGCCUACCAAGGUAGAGAACUUGUGUCACUGGAGUGGUGUCUGAAAGGUGAACAUCUCCACGGCGGCACAAGGGCGACGCUGGCACACACACGCACGCGCACGACACGGGGGACUGGAACCGAGGAACGGGACAGAAGGGAUAACCUGCGCGAGCGGAGCGCGACGCCGGAAUCGCGCCGAAAAAUCCCCCAAAAAUCGCCAAAAAAUAACUUAAGUCAGGAGGCAACCGGCGGAGCUUCGGCAAGUUUGGCGCAGACGAUUUUAACCUUUAGAAGAGAACCAAUUCUGGAAAACAAUAAGUUUCUUUGACUGAAUACUGACAUAAUGCAUUGGAACAUGAUAGAGGAUUAAGGUUUAACAAUGAUAAAAUGAAGAUAUUAUAUUACUAAAACAGCCCUCUAAGUAGCUCAACAAUUAUUUUAGCUGGAGAAUAAUGAAGCAUUUGCUGUAUAAACAAGAAGACCUCAGUUCAAUUUCCAGCACUAAGUAGAGCAUGCUAAAGAAAUUUUUAAAUACUAUGGCUAGAAAGAAAAUAGGUGACACAACCCUAUAAUACCAGCAUUCGGGAAGUGGAGACGAGAGGACCAUCAGGAGUUGAAAGUCAACUUCAGCUCCAGCUCACUCUAAGCAACAAACCAACAAGAACCAAAGAAAUCUUAUUGUACUCAAACUAGGUUGUAACUUGGUGAUAAAAUAUGUGCUACUUGUUUGAUCCUUGCAGGAGGGAGGGGCAUGGAAAGGGAAUUGUGGAUUGCAUAAGAAAUAGGACCAUGUGUUAGAAUACUUGGUACUCAUUUGGUGGACCUGUUUGGAAGGAUAGGAGGAGGUGUGUCACUGGGAACACUUCCUAGUUAGCUCCUUCUCUGCCUGCUGUUUGCAGAUGGGGAUGUGAGUUAUGAGUUGCUGUCCCCAUGCUGUGCCUGUCUGCUGCCUUGAUGGUCAUGGGCUCGAGUCCUCUGAAAUUGUAAGCCCCAAAUUAAACACUUAGAUAAAUUUCUCUUGGUCCUGGUGUCUCUUCAUAGCAAUAGAAAAGUCACUAAGCAUUACUUUAAUUGUACAUAACUUCUUUUCACAUAUACACAUUUAAGUGUACUAUUUUAAAUACAUUUUCACUGACUUGGAAAUCUGGAGUUAAUUCAUCUUUGUGACUAAUUUUGAAACAAAUAGCUAGUAGUAAAAUUAAAGUUAUACCCAUUUACAUUAAUAAUAAUAUAGUCAUCUUUCAAAGAAGAAAUUAUUCUAGAUGGAUUUUUUUUGUGCUCUUAGGUUUUACAUGCUCAGUUUUACAAGUUAACAUUCUAAUUAAAAAUGCUUUUUGGCUUUUUUUGUCUCUCUUUGCAGGGGUUUGGGGAAGCAUUUCUUCUGAGUUGAUUCUCAUUAAAUACUAUUGAAAAGGGUAAAGAAUAGGGUUCUAAUUUGGAGGGGGUAGAUUUGGAACCAGUAAAUAUAUUCCUUGGAAAAUAAAUGAAAGAGCAUUAUUAAUAUAGUCCAUCUAGCGAAGAGUUAUAAGGGAUAGUUUAUUUCUAAUACCUUGAAGUCUUUAAUACACAGAUUGUUCCUCCAUCAGAAACUUUAAGGGAUUGUAAUCCUUCUUGCUUUGUGUAUUCAUAAAAUAUAUCCUGGGCGUUUCACUUUCCUCAUUUCUUAAUUCUUUUUCCUUUUCUUUUUAUGUUUGCUUGUUUGUUUUAGUGCUUGGGAGUUGAACUCAGGACUUACAAAAGGGCUCUACUUCUAAAACAUCCCAAUACCAAAAAAGAGAACUAUUGAAACUAUUUUUCUGCCAAAUGUUCUUCAGCCUUAACUUAUUAAUAUGUCCAAUGAAUCAUCCUUUAGUAAGGUUUCUCCCUGCUCCUCCAUUUGCCUUUGGUGAUUCUAUUAAGUAAUUUCUUUGGAAAAUGCUAGUUUUCAUUUUUCUUAUAUUUAGGAAUACUUACAUGUAAAAUUUUAAUAUGCAAAGUUUAAAAUGUCAUUUUAGUUUGAAUCAAUGAAGUCUAGUACUGUGCUAAAAUAAAAUAGUAUGUUUAAAUUGUUUAUUUAGAAAAUUUGAAUUUUAAUUAGAUUUUUAUAUAAAAGUUUUGUAUUUUCAUUUUUAGUCAUAUGAAAAUGUUAAAUAUUUGUCAAAUAGCACUAAAAAUUUCUUUUAAGCCAGAUGUGCCCACAUGUAAUCCCAGCCCUGUCUCAUUAAGCCAAUAAGGUACAAAAAUAGCCAGGCAUGGUGGCACACAGCUUUAAUCUUGGCUCUCAAGACAGAGCAAGUGGAUCUCUGAGAGUUCAAGACAGUCUAGGAGACAUCUUGAGAAUUUUUCCACUUUUGUUCUAAAAAAUAUUACUUCGUUCCAUUUUUAAAUAUUGAAAAUAUCACAAAACCAAUCAGAUUAAGUCCCUUGUUUUCAUGGAGUUUACAGUACUGGUGGAGAGUGGACAGUUACUUGGAUGAAGAAAAAAAAUGAUAGUUUUAUGUUCUGUGGGAAAAAAUGAAUUAGGCAAGAUACAAGUGAUAUAGUUACUGUUAUUUGGAAGUAUAUCUUCAAAAAUACUUUCGGAAGUAUUCUUGAGGGUGCCCCCCUGCAAGUGACAUUUGAUUAGUAAAACUCUGUAAACUACCCAGGAGAAGAUUUAUGAGUGAGACCAUACUCAAACACAUUCUUAAUGCUAAUAUUCUUUAGCUUUAGGCUCUUCUAGACAUGUGUGGAGUUCUUUUGCUGGUGUUUUUCUUUUUGUUUUGUGUGUAUAUUGCCUGCAUGCAUGUCUGUCUACCACCUGUGUGCCUUGUGCCUAAGAGAUCAAAAAUAAGUAUGAGAUUCCUGGAGUUAUGAACAGUUGUGAACCACCAUGUGCAUUCUGGAAAUCAAAUCUACAUGCUCUUAACUGCUGAACACUCUCCCCAACCCUCCUGUUGGUUGGUUUUUGCUAAAGAUGAAGCCUAGGGCCUCAAAUAUGCUUCCUAGGUUCCUAAGGAACAGCCUAGUUUUUCUAGCCCCAACUUCUAGAAAAAAGUUUAUUUCUAAAAGAUCUUUAGCUAUAUAAUAGUAUUGUAAACAUAAUGUAAAAAGAGUGAAAUAAUUCUAAAUUUGAGUUUGAGAAUAUAGAAAGGUAAAACAUGUUUCCUGUGUGGCUUCUUCCUUUACCAUGCUGCUUAGGCUUCCCAUAGUGUGAAAGGUACUUUGAGGGGAAGGAGGUCCUUUUUUGUACUUCCGUGACCACAUUAAGUUCAUCAAAAUGUGAAAUGAAAUUUAUAUUUGGUGUUGUAAAAACAUUCAGCCCAGUGUUUAUAUAGCAUGCAUAAAGUCCAAUUCCGCCUCACCUCUCAAAUUCUGGAAAUGUUAAUGAUAGUAAUUGUGGUUAUAAGCUGUAAACAUAACAAUAAAAUGAGUAAGUUUAGUUUAUUACAAUGAAGUUUUUCUCUGAAUGACUCAUUUAGGAUAUAAGCAAAUAUUUCAAUUCAUUUUUUUUCAAAUUAUUUUACAAAACUCAACUUGAUAAAAAAUUAUUAAUAAGCUAUUUAUUUGUUUAAAAAAUCUGAUUAAGGGGACUGGAGAGAUGGCUCAGAGGUUGAGAGCACUGGCUGCUUCUCUAGAGUUCCUGAAUUUAAUUCCCAGCAACCACAUGGUUGCUCACAACCAUCUGUAGUGAGAUCUGGUGCCCUCUUCUGGAGUGCAGACAGAACACUGUAUACAUAUUAAACAGAUCUUUCAGAAAAUGCAAAAAGAGUCCAAGCUGGGCAGUAUCCUGGCUUCUCUCAGCAUUUCAUCCCUAUGCAAUCCUGCCAUCUAGGCUAUUUAUUUGCUCAUGGCUCCCUGUCUUAGUCCUCCUUUCCAGCUACCUUAACCGCAGCUUCACUGCUUUCUCUCCCUGCUCUGGACUCUUCCAGAUGCCUUUGGCUAUACUCUCCCUCAUGUCUCCAAUAAAAAUUCUCUGCUUAGUCAUACGAUGGAGUGGUUAUGACCUUCAUAUACUUGAUUUCUGUCAAAAAAAAAAAACCCUAAAUUCUUUCAAUAGUGCACACUUUCUUAAAUCAGAUUGCUUUGGUUUCUGUAUGGUUAGAUUGAAGGAUUAAAUUGAAUUCUGUAAAUAAAGGUUCUAAAAACCUAGCAUAAAUUCUUUACUUAUUCAAAUUAAAAUAUUGCUAAUAAACAAUUUUUCCCAAAUCCUUUGUGAUUGGAAGUCUUUCAUGUAUGACUAAUGUUAAAUCACAUGUAAAAUGUAUAGAUGUAAACCAAUAAUGUAUUGAAAGAAAGAAAAAAUAUGAAAUGCUUAUGUCUUAAGGAAUAGCUAAAGGAACUAAAGAGUUGGAGUGAGAUUUAUUUAGUGCAUGGAAGGACAAAAGUGACUUGAGUAAGCUCUGGGAGGCAAAUAAGGGAAUAAUUA